AUUGAACGCUGGCGGCAGGCCUAACACAUGCAAGUCGAACGAGGGGCGGACGGGUGGAUAAUGUAUGGGAAACUGCCCGAUGGAGGGGGAUAACUACUGGAAACGGUAGCUAAUACCGCAUACCAUCGGAUGUGCCCCGAUGGGUUGAGCUAGUAGGUGGGGUAACGGCUAACCUAGGCGACGAUCCCUAGCUGGUCUGAGAGGAUGACCAGCCACACUGGAAUGGAUCCACGGUCCAGACUCCUACGGGAGGCAGCAGGGGGGAAUAGUGCACAAUGGGCGCAAGCCUGAUGCAGCCAGGCCGCGUGUAUGAAGAAGGCCGUCGGGUUGUAAAGUACUUUCAGCGAGGAGGCGUUACUCGCAGAAGAAGCACCGGCUAACUCCGUGCCAGCAGCCGCGGUAAUAC
rnacentral:rRNA from 1 species